ensembl:snRNA
GUGUUGUGGAGAGGAGAGAAGCUUAACACUCCCUUGACAAGGAUGGAAGAGGCCCUUGGGACUGAUAACAUGCAUAUGGUUAAGGCAUUGCCACCUACUUCGUGGCAUCAAAUUCAUCCCCUAU